CGGAGUCGUCGUCGCCGUCCCAGGGCUGCUUCUCGCCCUCGCCCUCGAUCACCAGGAUGUUCUUGUCCGCGCGCACCUUCACGUGCUCCUUGGUCAGCCCCGGCAUCGGCACCUUGAGGUACACCGCGUCGUCGUCCUCCUUGGCCACCCACCGUCCGAGCCGCGACGCCCCAGCACCAGCAGUGGAGGAGAGGCCGCCGGUCUUAGUUGCGACGUCCUCCAUCAGAGACAGCAGACGGGCCAUGCUGGGGGGUUUUGUAAAGGAGGAGCGGGAAAGCUUUCUUGGGGGAGGGGGAUUCCUAACUGGGUUUAGAAGGUUCUGGGGAGAUCGGAUGAGGCCUCGAGCCUUCCAGAACGAUCGGGAGACCACAGCUUUAGGAUUCGCGCUGCUUGAUGUACCACGACCGGAGGCCAUGGAUGAAGAAGGUAAUUAUUGAUCUGCUGUGGUGCGCAAGGCAACAGAGGUUGCCGUACGACGGCUUAUGAGGCAACAGAGCUUCAUCUGCAAGGAAUAAACUACUCGGUUAUGAGCGAUUUGCUUUCUCUAGUGUGCUUGGUGCUGGGCAAUAAAGCAAUCAACACCCCCACACCAUUUUUUUAAAAUAAUUCUUGUGUUACUCAAUCAGCGUUUACAAUCAUGGUGGAUAACGUCCAAAAUAUCCUUUGAGCCAAAUCCAAGCCUAUCAAAUUUGCAAACGCGUGGCUAGAAGAAUUCUGAAUCAACACCAUUUCCUUGAGAACGGGAAAAUGACAAAUGUACACAUUGUGAAAAUGCAGGCAAUCGACCAAACAUGCUCUGACGUCAAGAUAUACAUGUCUUUAUUUAAUGGGCUAUUAUUUAAUACGAUUUCCGGCAAAACAAUAUAUUUUAUGUGUUUAAAGUGCAGAGUUUAUAACCAUGUUCCAACAACUUGAUGUCAUCGGACAUCACACAUUUCGGUGGACUCAUUACUCAUAAUAAUUAAAAAAAGUAAAAUAGCGUCUAUGUAUAUACUAUGUUUAAAAAACUGUAAAAUAGAGCAACCACACAGCUCUUUGGUUAAUUGGACCAGAGAGAUGUGACUAGGCCUCCGAUUCUUGGCUUGAUUGAUUUUAUUUUAUUUUUGAACAUAAGGAGUUUUAUAACUUUUAAGCACAUUUUACAUAAAGUAGCAUGAAUGGUGACACGCUAGAUACACAGAGAAUGUCCCUUCCUGGACAUAGACCUAUGUUUGGACAUAAGCACGUGAUUGUCAAUCUUGUGGACUGGAUUUUCCCUGCUAAUCUUGCUUGGUGUGUGCUUUGACAUUUGAGUUCAUGUGAAUACGUGAGAUCCUAUUGGCUUGGAAGGAAGCGUUGGCCUGUAUAUCCGCUAGAAGAGGUCUGGUUAUCAAGUGACCUAGUGCAUUCAUGAAAUUGCUCGCAGCCGCGGCUGAUGCCAAAACAGAGCAAUCAGUGUAGAAGACGGGCUCUUGCAGUUGUAAAAUCUCUGCUAGCUUGGUGGCAAGAAGAAGGCGAAGGCCUUAGCCUCCAGUGGUGAAGUAGCUGGAGGAGACAAGGCCGAGACAUAAAGCCGCUUGAAGUGUUGGUUGCUGUCCACCUUGAUGAAGAUGUCGAUGCCUGCUGGAGUUGGGUGCACAUUCUGAUCUGUCUUCCAAGCCACAUCACAGAAGAUGGCGUCACCUGCAAAACAAGAAAAGUUUUGAACCGUAGGUCCGGUAACAUGAGCCUGAUGCGUAUCAGUUGUAGUUGUUGGAGGUUGAUCUCCAUAGAGGGCCGAGUCUUCAAUUUUUGAUCCCUGAACAAUAGCAUUAGAAAUAGCAAAAACCUGGGUAGGCCCUAGACACCUCUUGUCAAAGAGACAAUCAUUUCUUGCUUUCCAAAGGCACCAAAGGAAAGUGUACAUGCUUAUGAUAUUGAUUUGAGGAUGACCCGAUGAAAGUAGAGCUUGUAUCAUGUCAGGAACAUAACGGUGAGAGGGAGCAAGAACUUCAGUUUUAAUAUACCAAGGAUGACAAUACCAUGUAAAUUUAGAAAAAGGGCAAAGAAAGAACCUGUGCAUUUCAUUUCCCAAACAGCCACUCGGGCUCAAUAUGGUUCGAAAAUUUACUUGCACGUUUACCUGUGGGGGUGCCUUUCGAAGAAGCCUCUAGGCAAAAGUGUGUACCCGAGGCGCCAUGGACUUCACCUACCAAACCUGAUUUAAAAGAGAAAUUAUCUGUGAAGAGACCACACUGGGUCGCUGAUUUGCACGCAGGGCGAGAUGGUUGAAACAAUGCUUGUACGGACUCUUAGAGGUACAGUCACGUGCGGGGGUUAUUUUCCACACCAAAAUGCCCCGCCCAUCUGAAUUUAUAAUUGGAGUUUGAAGGAUAGCAUUGGCUGUUUGAGAGCUAAACUGAGAAAUCACUAAUUAUGCAUUCCAAGCCUUUUGGUUAUUAGCCAAAGAUCCUUAACUAUAUCAGGAUAAACAAAGGAUGGAAUCUGAAUGGUAAGAUUUUCGUAAAUGGUUUCCCACCCAUGGAACCAAGUACUCCAUAUAAAACUGCUACCAUCAAUAAUUUGGUAAAAAGAACUACUGAAGUUAAAAGUGGUUUUACCUUGAGGAGGGUAGCCCCAAAAGCAUAUUUAGGCUUGUCUGACUUUGCUCUCCAAAUAGAAGUAUCAUGAUGGUACUUGGCUUUGCGGAUUAACGCAAGUUGGCUCUAUGAUUCUCUAGCUAACAUCCAUGCAGCCGAGAGGAUAAGACCUUGAUUUACAACUUGCAAAUUUCGAACGCCUAGUCACAAAUUUUCUUUUCUAUGCAAAUGUCAGUCCAUGCCCGUAGGCACAAGCUUUUUGUGAUAGCCUCAUCUUUAACUCCUGUCCACAAAAAAAAACAUGAUGAUAGACGUGAGCUUUGCAAGAAAUUUCUAGGAAAAAAUGUUAGACAUGUAAUAGACAUGUAUAGAGGCAAAGACAGAUUUAUUGAGGGUAAGCCUAGCAGCAUGUGAGAUCCUGUUAGCUUUGUAGGCAGUUAAUUUUUUCUUGUAUAUGUCAUAAACACAGUUGUAAGCAGCAGGUCUGUCUUUAGCAGGAAGAAUAAGAGGGUGACCAAGGUGGAUAGUGGUGUUAUCUGAAUCUGGAACCUGAAGAUCUGUUUGACAUCCUGCUUCACCUGCAAAGGCACAUUUUUGCUAAAUAAAAUGGAAGAUUUAUUCCACUUGGAACUUGACCUGAAGCAUGACAAAAUGGAUCUGAAAUGUUGGAGAUGGCCAAAGCAUCCUGCACAUUAGCCUUUCCACAAACCAACAAAUAAUCAGCAAACAUUAGAGAAUGAAUUCCAGGGUAGUUUGAUCCAAGACAGAUACGUGAUAGAUGGUUGGCUUGUAAAGAUUCCGGUUGGGUUAGGGAGAGCUCAUUCACCGCAAGAACAAAGAGAUAAGGGGACAGGGGACAUCCGUGUCCUAUAACUCUACUACUUCUGAAGCGAGCAUAAGAUGGCAUGAUUGAUUUUUGUGCUUGCUUCGAGUGGACACUAAACUUAACUGUUUCCACCUCUAAACAGAUUUUGUGUUACACACUUGGCUAGAAGAAAAAAACAUACGCCUGUGCAGUUCAAAAAAGAAGAAGCAUACGCAUGCAAAUUAUACUAAAACUUUUUCUAAAAACCAAGAGAAUAGGUUGUACAAUUUCCUAUCAUCUCAGGACAGUAGAUAUGGAACAUAGUUGACACAUGUGACUAUUUUAAAAUUUAUAGUUUAACCAUAUAAAACGGACAAAUCGUAUAUUCCGUAUUUAUUGUGUUAUAUGCUUAUAACAUAUUAGAUAAAUGCAUCAAACAUGGAUGGGCGUGGCAACGCGCAAUCGUGAUCUCAUGUAUUAUUAUUAUUAUUAUUAUUAUUAUUAUUAUUAUUAUUAUUAUUAUUAUUAUUAUUAUUAUUAGAAGGGUUGGUGUUGUUAGGAUUUCAUAAAUAGAAUCAAUUAUUUGGUGGGGGUAAUGAAUUGUGUUUUUUUCAUAAUACAAUAUUUUUAUUGCCUCUUUUGGAGGUAUAGUUAUGUGUUAUUUGCAAAUUAAUCCACAUGUAUGUAGGGAAGUGUCUUGUAAUAGUGACCACAUUUAGUAUAUGCAGGAAAUAUGCCCUAGAGGUAAUAAUAAAGUUAUUAUUUAUUUCCUUAUUUCGUGAUAAAUGUUUAUUAUUCAUGCUAGAAUUGUGUAUUUGUCAUAAACACAGUUGUAAGCAGCAGAUCUGUCUUUAGCAGGAAGAAUAAGAGGGUGACCAAGGUGGAUAGUGGUGUUAUCUGAAUCUGGAACCUGAAGAUCUUUUUGACAUCCUGCUUCACCUGCAAAGGCACAUUUUUGCUAAAUCAAAUGGAAGAUUUAUUCCACUUGGAACUUGACCUGAAGCAUGACAAAAUGGAUCUGAAAUGUUGGAGAUGGCCAAAGCUUCCUGCACAUUAGCCUUUCCACAAACCAACAAAUAAUAAGCAAACAUUAGAGAAUGAAUUCCAGGGUAGUUUGAUCCAAGACAGAUACGUGAUAGGUGGUUGGCUUGUAAAGAUUCCGGUUGGGUUAGGGAGAGCUCAUUCACCGCAAGAACAAAGAGAUAAGGGGACAGGGGACAUCCGUGUCCUAUAACUCUACUACUUCUGAAGCGAGCAUAAGAUGGCAUGAUUGAUUUUUGUGCUUGCUUCGAGUGGACACUAAACUUAACUAUUUCCACCUCUAAACAGAUUUUGUGCUACACACUUGGCUAGAAGAAAAAAAACAUACGCGUGUGCAGUUCAAAAAAGAAGAAGCAUACGCAUGCAAAUUAUACUAAAACUUUUUCUAAAAACCAAGAGAAUAGGUUGUAUAAUUUCCUAUCAUCUCGGGAUAGUAGAUAUGGAACAUAGUUGACACAUGUGACUAUUUUAAAAUUUAUAGUUUAACCAUAUAAAACGGAUAAAUCGUAUAUUCCGUAUUUAUUGUGUUAUAUGCUUAUAACAUAUUAGAUAAAUGCAUCAAACAUGGAUGGGCAUGGCAACGCGCAAUCGUGAUCUCAUGUAUUAUUAUUAUUAUUAUUAUUAUUAUUAUUAUUAUUAUUAUUAUUAUUAUUAUUAUUAUUAUUAUUAUUAUUAUUAUUAUUAUUAUUAUUAUUAUUAUUAGAAGGGUUGGUGUUGUUAGGAUUUCAUAAAUAGAAUCAAUUAUUUGGUGGGGGUAAUGAAUUGUGUUUUUUUUCAUAAUACAAUAUUUUUAUUGCCUCUUUUGGAGGUAUAGUUAUGUGUUAUUUGCAAAUUAAUCCACAUGUAUGUAGGGAAGUGUCUUAUAAUAGUGACCACAUUUAGUAUAUGCAGGAAAUAUGCCCUAGAGGUAAUAAUAAAGUUAUUAUUUAUUUCCUUAUUUCAUGAUAAAUGUUUAUUAUUCAUGCUAGAAUUGUGUAUUUGUCACAAACACAGUUGUAAGCAGCAGAUCUGUCUUUAGCAGGAAGAAUAAGAGGGUGACCAAGGUGGAUAGUGGUGUUAUCUGAAUCUGGAACCUGAAGAUCUUUUUGACAUCCUGCUGCACCUGCAAAGGCACAUUUUUGCUAAAUCAAAUGGAAGAUUUAUUCCACUUGGAACUUGACCUGAAGCAUGACAAAAUGGAUCUGAAAUGUUGGAGAUGGCCAAAGCUUCCUGCACAUUAGCCUUUCCACAAACCAACAAAUAAUAAGCAAACAUUAGAGAAUGAAUUCCAUGGUAGUUUGAUCCAAGACAGAUACGUGAUAGGUGGUUGGCUUGUAAAGAUUCCGGUUGGGUUAGGGAGAGCUCAUUCACCGCAAGAACAAAGAGAUAAGGGGACAGGGGACAUCCGUGUCCUAUAACUCUACUACUUCUGAAGCGAGCAUAAGAUGGCAUGAUUGAUUUUUGUGCUUGCUUCGAGUGGACACUAAACUUAACUAUUUCCACCUCUAAACAGAUUUUGUGCUACACACUUGGCUAGAAGAAAAAAAACAUACGCCUGUGCAGUUCAAAAAAGAAGAAGCAUACGCAUGCAAAUUAUACUAAAACUUUUUCUAAAAACCAAGAGAAUAGGUUGUAUAAUUUCCUAUCAUCUCGGGAUAGUAGAUAUGGAACAUAGUUGACACAUGUGACUAUUUUAAAAUUUAUAGUUUAACCAUAUAAAACGGACAAAUCGUAUAUUCCGUAUUUAUUGUGUUAUAUGCUUAUAACAUAUUAGAUAAAUGCAUCAAACAUGGAUGGGCAUGGCAACGCGCAAUCGUGAUCUCAUGUAUUAUUAUUAUUAUUAUUAUUAUUAUUAUUAUUAUUAUUAUUAUUAUUAUUAUUAUUAUUAUUAUUAUUAUUAUUAGAAGGGUUGGUGUUGUUAGGAUUUCAUAAAUAGAAUCAAUUAUUUGGUGGGGGUAAUGAAUUGUGUUUUUUUUCAUAAUACAAUAUUUUUAUUGCCUCUUUUGGAGGUAUAGUUAUGUGUUAUUUGCAAAUUAAUCCACAUGUAUGUAGGGAAGUGUCUUAUAAUAGUGACCACAUUUAGUAUAUGCAGGAAAUAUGCCCUAGAGGUAAUAAUAAAGUUAUUAUUUAUUUCCUUAUUUCAUGAUAAAUGUUUAUUAUUCAUGCUAGAUUUGUGUAUUUGUCACAAACACAGUUGUAAGCAGCAGAUCUGUCUUUAGCAGGAAGAAUAAGAGGGUGACCAAGGUGGAUAGUGGUGUUAUCUGAAUCUGGAACCUGAAGAUCUUUUUGACAUCCUGCUGCACCUGCAAAGGCACAUUUUUGCUAAAUCAAAUGGAAGAUUUAUUCCACUUGGAACUUGACCUGAAGCAUGACAAAAUGGAUCUGAAAUGUUGGAGAUGGCCAAAGCUUCCUGCACAUUAGCCUUUCCACAAACCAACAAAUAAUAAGCAAACAUUAGAGAAUGAAUUCCAGGGUAGUUUGAUCCAAGACAGAUACGUGAUAGGUGGUUGGCUUGUAAAGAUUUCGGUUGGGUUAGGGAGAGCUCAUUCACCGCAAGAACAAAGAGAUAAGGGGACAGAGGACAUCCGUGUCCUAUAACUCUACUAUUUUUGAAGCGAGCAUAAGAUGGCCUGAUUGAUUUCUGUGCUUGCUUCGAGUGGACACUAAACUUAACUGUUUCCACCUCUAAACAGAUUUUGUGCUACACACUUGGCUAGAAGAAAAAAACAUACGCCUGUGCAGUUCAAAAAAGAAGAACCAUACGCAUGCGAAUUAUACUAAAACUUUUUCUAAAAACCAAGAGAAUAGGUUGUACAAUUUCCUAUCAUCUCGGGACAGUAGAUAUGGAACAUAGUUGACACAUGUGACUAUUUUAAAAAUUAUAGUUUAACCAUAUAAAACAGACAAAUCGUAUAUUCCGUAUUUAUUGUGUUAUAUGCUUAUAACAUAUUAGAUAAAUGCAUCAAACAUGGAUGGGCGUGGCUACGCGCAAUCAUGAUCUCAUGUAUUAUUAUUAUUAUUAUUAUUAUUAUUAUUAUUAUUAUUAUUAUUAUUAUUAUUAUUAUUAUUAUUAUUAUUAUUAUUAUUAUUAUUGUUAUUAUUAGAAGGGUUGGUGUUGUUAGGAUUUCAUAAAUAGAAUCAAUUAUUUGGUGGGGGGUAAUGAAUUGUGUUUUUUGCAUAAUACGAUAUUUUUAUUGCCUCUUUUGGAGGUAUAGUUAUGUGUUAUUUGCAAAUUAAUCCACAUGUAUGUAGGGAAGUGUCUUGUAAUGGUGACCACAUUUAGUAUAUGCAGGAAAUAUGCCCUAGAGGCAAUAAUAAAGUUAUUAUUUAUUUCCUUAUUUCAUGAUAAAUGUUUAUUAUUCAUGCUAGAGUUGUAUUAACCGGAAACUUAGUACAUACUGAAUACAUAGACAAAACAGAUUGUCCUAUUAUGCCUCUACUUGACUAGCUCGUUAAUCAAAGAUGGUUAUGUUUCCUAACCAUAGACAUGUGUUGUCAUUUGAUGAACGAGAUCACAUCAUUAGGAGAAUGAUGUGAUGGACAUGACCCAUUCGUUAGCUUAGCAUUAUGAUCGUUACAGUUUCAUUGCUACUGCUUUCUUCAUGAGUUAUACAUGUUCCUCAGACUAUGAAAUUAUGCAAUUCCCGAAUACCAGAGGAACACUUUAUGUGCUACCAAACGUUACAAUGUAAAAGGGUGAUUAUAAAGGUGCUCUACAGGUGUCUCCGAAGGUGUUUGUUGGGUUGGCAUAGAUAGAGAUUAGGAUUUGUCACUCCGUGUUUCGGAGAGGUAUCUCUGGGCCCUCUCGGUAAUGCUCAUCACUAUAAGCCUUGCAAGCAUUGUGACUAAUGAGUUAGUUACGGGAUGAAGUAUUAUGGAACGAGUAAAGAGACUUGCCGGUAAUGAGAUUGAACUAGGUAAGAUGAUACAUACGAUCAAAUCUUGGGCAAGUAACAUGCCGAUGACAAAGGGAACAACGUAUGUUGUUAUGCGGUUUGACCGAUAAUGAUCUUCGUAGAAUAUGUAGGAGCCAAUAUGAGCAUCCAGGUUCCGCUAUUGGUUAUUGACCGAAGAUGUGUCUCGAUCAUGUCUACAUAGUUCUCGAACCCGUAGGGUCCGCACGCUUACCGUUCAAUGACGAUAUGUAUUAUGAGUUAUGUGUUUUUUAUGACCGAAGUUUGUUUGGAGUCCCGGAUGAGAUCACGGAUGUAAUGAGGAGUCUCCAAAUGGUCGAGACAUAAAGAUUGAUAUAUUGGACGGCUAUAUUCGGACACCGGAAGUGUUGCGGAAAGUUUCGGGUAAAACCGGAGUGCCGGAGGGGUUACCGGAACCCCCCGAGGAAUCAAUGGGCCACAUUGAGCCUUGGUGGAGAGAGAGAGGGGCGGCCAUGGCAGGCCGCGCGGCCCCUCCCCCUUGGGUCCGAAUUGGACUAGGGAAGGGGGGCGGUGCCCCCCUUUCCUACUCCCUCUCCCUCUCCUUCCUUCCCCCUCUCUCCCUCUUGGUGGAAUCCUACUAGGACUAGUAGUCCUAGUAGGACUCCCGUCUUGGGGCGCGCCCUUGGGGUCGGUCGGACUCCCCCUUGCUCCUUUAUAUACGGGGGCAGGGGCACCCUAGAACACACAAGUUUCUCUCCCAACCGUGUGCGGUGCCCCCCUCCACAGUUACACACCUCGAUCAUACCAUCGUAGUGCUUAGGCGAAGCCUUGCGUCGGUAGCAUCAUCAUCACCAUUGCCACGCCUUUGUGCUGACGGAACUCACCCUCAUCCUCAACUGGAUCAAGAGCAUGAGGGACGUCAUCGAGCUGAACGUGUGCUGAACGCGGAGGUGUCGUACGUUCGGUACUUGGAUCGGUUGGAUCGCGAAGAAGGUUGACUACAUCAACCGCGUUAUUGAUAAGCUUCCGCUUUCGAUCUACGAGGGUACAUGGACACACUCUCCCCUCUCGAUUCUAUGCAUCACCUAGAUAGAUCUUGUGUGAUCGUAGGAAACUUUUGGAAAUUACCGUGUUCCCCGAUAGUGGCAUCCGAGCGAGGUCUAUGCGUAGAUGUUAUAUGCACGAGUAGAACACAAAGAGUUGUGGGCGAUAAUAGUCAUACUGCUUACCACCAACGUCUUACUUUGAUUCCGCGGUAUUGUUGGAUGAAGCGGCCCGGACCGACAUUACAUGACUGCAUUCAUGAGACUGGUUCUACCGACGUGCUUUUGCACAUAGGUGGCUGGCGGGUGUCUGUUUCUCCAACUUUAGUUGAAUCAAGUUUGACUACGGCUGGUCCUUUUUGAAGGUUAAAACAGCACACUUGACCAAAAAUCGUUGUGGUUUUGAUGCGUAGGUAAGAACGGUUCUUGCUAGAAGCCCGUAGCGGCCACGUAAAACUUGCAACAACAAAGUAGAGGACGUCUAACUUGUUUUUGCGGGGCUUGUUGUGAUGUGAUAUGGUCAAGGCAUGGUGUGAUAUAAAUUGUUGUAUGAGAUGAUCAUGUUUUGUAACAAAGUGAUCGGCAACUAGCAUGAGCCAUAUGGUUUUCGCUUUAUUGUAUGCACUGCAAUCGCCAUGUAAUUGUUUUACUUUAUCACUAAGUGGUAGCGAUAGUCGUAGUAACAAUAGUUGGCGAGACGACAACGAUGCUACGACGGAGAUCAAGGUGUUGCACCGGUGACGAUGGAGAUCAUGGCAAUGCUUCGGUGAUGGAGAUCAUGAGCACAAGAUGAUGAUGGCCAUAUCAUGUCACAUAUUUUGAUUGCAUGUGAUGUUUAUCUUUUAUGCAUAUUAUUUUGCUUAGUAUGGCGGUAGCAUUAUAAGAUGAUCCAUUACUAAAUUUCAAGGUAUAAGUGUCUUCCCUGAGUAUGAACCGUUGCUACAGUUCGUCGUGCCGAGACACCACGAGAUGAUCGGGUGUGAUAAGCUCUACGUUCACAUACAAUGGGUGCAAGCCAGUUUUGCACACGUAGAAUACUCGAGAUAAACUUGACGAGCCUAGCAUAUGCAGAUAUGGCCUUGGAACAUUGAGACCAAAAGGUCGAACGUGAAUCAUAUAGUAGAUAUGAUCAACAUAGUGAUGUUCACCAUUGAAAACUACUCCAUCUCACGUGAUGAUCGGACAUGGUUUAGUUGAUUUGGAUCACGUGAUCAUUUAGAUGACUAGAGGGAUGUCUAUCUAAGUGGGAGUUCUUAAGUAAUAUGAUUAAUUGAACUUUAAUUUAUCAUGAAGUUAGUCCUGAUAGUUAUUUUGCAUGUCUAUGUUAUUGUAGAUCAAUGGCCCGUGCUACCGUUCCUUUGAAUUUUAAUGUGUUCCUAGAGAAAGCUAAGUUGAAAGAUGAUGGCAUAGAAGAAUUACGUCCUGGAAGGACCGUUAGGUGUACCACCCGCGCCAGCAACUACAGACAUUGUGAAUGCCUGGCAGAUGCGUGUUGAUGACUACUCGAUAGUUCGGUGUGCCAUGCUCUACGGCUUAGAAUAGGGACUUCAAAUACAUUUUGAACAUCAUGGAGCAUAUGAGAUGUUCCAAGAGUUGAAGUUAAUAUUUCAAGCAAAUGCCUGAGUUGAGAUAUAUGAAGUCUCCAACAAGUUCUACAGCUGCAAAAUGGAGGAGAAUAGUUCUAUCAGUGAACACAUACUCAGAAUGUCUGGGUAGCAUAACCACUUGACUCAGCUAGGAGUUAAUCUUCCCGAUGAUAGUGUCAUUGACAGAGUUCUUCAAUCACUGCCACCAAGCUAUAAAGGCUUCAUGAUGAACUAUAAUAUGCAAGGGAUGAACAAGACUAUUCCCGAGCUCUUCGUGGUGCUAAAGGUUGCGGAGGUAGAAAUCAAGAAGGAGCAUCAAGUGUUGAUGGUCAACAAGACCACUAGUUUCAAGAAAAAGGGCAAAGGGAAGAAGGGAAACUUCAAGAAGAACGGCAAGAAAGUUGCUGCUCAGGAGAAGAAACCCAAGUCUGGACCUAAGCUGAAACUGAGUGCUUCUACUACAAAGGGACUGGUCACUCGAAGUGGAACUGCCCCAAGUAUUUGGAGGAUAAGAAGGAUGGCAAAGUGAAAGGUAUAUUUGAUAUACAUUUUAUUGAUGUGUAGCUUACUAAUGCUCGUAGUAGCGCCUUGGUAUUUGAUACUGCUUCUGUUGCUCAUAUUUGCAACUCCAAACAGGGGCUAAGGAUUAAACGAAGAUUGGCUAUGGACAAGGUGACGAUGCACGUGGGAAAUGGUUCCAAGGUCGAUGUGAUCGCCGUUGGCACGCUACCUCUACAUAUACCUUCGGGAUUAGUUUUAGACCUGAAUAAUUGUUAUUUGGUGUCAGCGUUGAUAAUUGUUAUUUGGUUCCAGCGUUGAGCAUGAACAUUAUAUCUGGAUCUUGUUUGAUGCGAGACGGUUAUUCAUUUAAAUCAGAGAAUAAUGGUUUUUCUAUUUAUAUGAGUAAUAUCUUUUAUGGUCAUGCACCCUUGCUGAGUGGUCUAUUUUUGUUGAAUCUCGAUCGUGAUGAUGCACAUAUUCAUAAUAUUGAAGCCAAAAGAUGCAAAGUUGACAAUGAUAGUGCAACUUAUUUGUGGCACUACCGUUUGGGUCAUAUCGGUGUAAAGCGCAUGAAGAAACUCCAUGCUGAUGGACUUUUGGAAUCACUUGAUUAUGAAUCACUUGGUGCUUGCGAACCGUGCCUCAUGGGCAAGAUGACUAAAAUUCUGUUCUCCGGAACAAUGGAACGAGCUACUAACUUAUUGAAAAUUAUACAUACAGAUGUAUGUGGUCCAAUGGGUGUUGAGGCUCGUGGAGGGUGUUGGGGAUAUAACUAUUGGGUAUGAACCGCCCAGGAGGGGCCGGGUCAUACCACUAGCGAUAACCCAUGAAGGGGGUGGGUCAUAACAAGCCCGCUGACGGCCCAAGACCCAGAGGCAACUUAGGGCCCAGAAGGAUGAACCGCCAUGAGGAUAAACUUGUAUUGUAAGGCAGGCUUAGUUAGUCACCGAGCCGGACACGUUGUCUAUGAGCCGGCCGGGACUCUGUAAGCCACGGGGCGUUCACCUGUGUAUAUAAAGGGACGUCUCGGCGGCGAGUUAGGACAGGAAAGAAAAAGCUCGAGAACUAGGUCAAGCGUAUUCGCUCCCUGGUAAUUGAAGCCCAAGCAAUAACCACCCUACACUGGAUUAGGCUGUUACCUCCACCGCGAGGGGCCGAACCAGUAUAAACUCUCCGUGUCCCUUGUCCCGUUUAACCCCUUCAAGCUAACUACGUUCCGAUGGAUCCACACCUAAGUCCUUAUGCUAGGACAUCUGACAUGAUAAUUCCACGACAGUUGGCGGCCACUGUGAGGCUGGCGCACGAUGGUUUAGAGUUCUUGAAGGGCAGCUUUGCAGGGCUCAAGGGGUACGCCGUGGGCCGGAUGACCAAGAGUCGUCACGGCAAGCUCUACAUCAACGAUGAGGGCUGGGGCCCCAAGGCCGACUCAACGAUGAGUCGGAAGCUGAGCCGGACAUCUGCACCAACAUCGUCAAGUCGGCUCGACGCGUGUGACCCGCCAAGGCUAACACCGCCUCGAAGCAUGUUUUUGUCGGUUUCGUUCAUGGAGCGGAGCUAGAAGGAGGAUAUGAAUCUGGUGGUGAGACGUUUAUUUACUUAGGCGAUGAGUCUUCUGCUGGUGAGACCAACUCCAUCUACCAGGUUCAGGAUGGCGGGCUUGGGGGUUGUUCCGAUGGUGACAGUAUUCUGGACUCCUACGAGCCGCCACACCAGGUCACAGUCUUCAUGGCCGGUACACAGCCAGCGCAGGACUCUACGACUGUAGCGGCAAUGAUCUUCGGGUCAGAAACAGCGACGACUUCUAGGGCAGGAGGACCUGUGCGCCCGCCAGCUCAAGUUUUGUCUGAUCUAUUGGAUGCUUUGACAACGUUGUUAACGGCAAAUGUCAACUCGGCGAAUCAAGCUCAGCAUAACACAGAGGUUACAAAAUUGUGUGAUGAGAUAGCGCAUGCCAAGGAGUUAAAUGCAGAGAACACCCGGAUGGCAACGGAGCAAGCCGCCUUGCAGAGGGAAGCAGAACAGCUUCAGGCAGAGAGCUUGCACUUAAGCUUGGACAUGAAUGCGUCCACUGCUGUUUUCAACAGAAGGCAUGUGAGCCGUCUGCCCCCGACUUAUGAUGCGAGGAAUCUUUUCAAAACGCCUGGGGCAAGACCUAGUAACCCGCCUGGUGUGAAUCGGACCACUGAGGCGCCAGGGGCAGGAGAACCGGUUCAACCACGGGCUACAGAUCCCCCACAUAUGAAUGUGACCCCUCCUCAGCAUGUUCCAACACCUCCUAACCCCUUGGAUAACAUGAUAGCUUCGGCAACACGGCUGGCGGCUCUCCCGUCCCAGGAUGAGUCGCCAGCGGCAAUGGAAAUACGGAGAGCCGGAGAGCUUCUUCAGACGGCUGUGGCCCAGCAGGCGGCUUAUUCAUACAGUCGUGAUUGUACCCAUUCAACACCUCGUCCAGGCAUGAGUUAUAGCAGGCACAUUGAUGAAUCGACCGUGUCAAGCAGUGAGCGGCACCGCAACCAGCCUCGCAGGCCUGACCCGCCGCGUGUCGGCACUGAUGCUUAGAUUUUGGUAGACCAGGGUAGAGCAUGGCGUGAAGCAGAGCUAGCGGCUCAGCUGACGGCUCAACUGGCGGCUCAACAGAAAUCUCCGGUUUAUCCUUCAGCGUCCAUGGAGGUAGGAGCGGCCUCUAGAACCUUGGGUGUGCCAUGUUUAGUGCCGGCUCUUUGCAAUGAGCGCUUGCCUAAGGAUUUCAAGGGCCCCCUAAAGUGCCUAAUUACACGACGGAUCAGCCCCCAGAGGCUUGAUCAAAAGUUAUGAGAUGGAUAUGGAGAUGCUGGAUGUCGGCGAUGCAGCGUGUGCUAAGUACUUCACCAUGAUUUUGGAUGGGUCGGCUCGUACGUGGUUAAAAAUAGUGCCCCCUAAUUCUAUUGGGUCAUGGGCAGAGUUAAAGAGGCGUUUUAUUCAAAAUUUCAAGGACACAUGCAAGCAGCCUAUGUCGAUUCUGGAUUUGGAUUCUUGCAUUCAGGGAGAAGGAGAGUCAACAACCCAUUGGGUGCGCCGGAUUUCGUCAAUCAUACAUUCAUCAGAUAGUAUCAAUGUCGGUUUUGCAGUCCUGAUGUUAGAGAAGAAUUGUCGUUUCCUCCCUCUUAAGCAGAAGCUGGGGCAGCUUAAGCGUCACUGCAAUGAUAUGGGGGAGCUAAUGGCGGCUCUCGUCAAAUACGCCGACUCUAAAAGUACCAAGGAUCCCGAAUCUGAUGAUGAUAAGCCGGGAAGGGAAAGAAGAGCGGCAAUGUAAAAGGGCAGCGGCAUAUUUCGGCGGUUCAAGUCGACAACAGUAAGCGUAAGGCUGAUGGUAAUUUUGAUUUUGUGGCUAACACCAAUGCGCAGAAUAAUAAUCAGUGUCGCAAGGGAAAGCCACCCCAAGGGUCAAAACUCAACCUUGAGGCAAUGCUAAAUCAACCUUGUCCAAAGCACGGCAUGCGUGAUAAGCCAUCUGGUCAUAUGUGGAGGGAUUGUUACAUCAUGAAGGAGUUUAGAAAUACAAAACAUUUCAAUCAUGGUCCACAUGGCAGCUCAGGGUCCGGCUCUCAUGAACCUAGUUUUGGUAGUGGCGGUUCAAGCUCCGGCUUUCAGGGUCAAGGCAAUCAAGGUGGUCUUAAUCAACAGUCUAACCAAGGAAGCCAGCUGCAGUAGUCUGGCUAUCAAAGCAACCCAAAGCAGCUGGACUGCGGUCAGUAUCACGUGUUCACUACGAGUCUAUGCAAGAGAGAUUAGAAAAUCCAUAAGCGGGCGGUGAACUCUGUUGAACCGGCGGUGCCCCGAUACUUAAGGUGGUCUGAACAGUCUAUUACGUGGAGCAGAGAAGAUCACCCACCCCGAGUCAAUAAUCCGGGUCAGCUGGCUUUAGUGGUUGCUCCACAGGUGGGAGGAUAUAAGCUCACAAAGGUGCUCAUGGAUGGAGGCAUUAGUGUCAAUAUUCUUUAUUGUGAGACCUUUUGUCGUAUGAAUCUGACUGACAAGGAUCUUUGGCCGCCUUCUACUAUUUUUCAUGGGGUGGUGCCUGGUAAGUCAGCGUAUCCAGUGGGUAGGAUAACACUGGAAGUGGUUUUGGAGAUGACAAUGAUUCCAGAGUUGAGAAAUUAACCUUUUAGGUGGUGAAAAUUAAGAGCCCAUACCAUGCUUUAUUUGGGCGGCCGGCUUACGCAAAGUUGAUGGCACGACCGUGCUAUGUUUAUUUGCAGCUUAAGAUGUCGGGUCACAAGGGCACCAUCACGGUGCAUGGCAAUAGAAAAAUAGCUCUCGAUUGUGAAGAGGGUGAUGCUGCUUAUGCUGAGUCGGCUUGUGCCACUAAAGAAUUGAAGUUUUAUAAAGACAAUGUUGACCCGGCAGAUAUGACACCUUUGAAGAAGCCAACGACAGAGAAUGAGCCCUUAAUGAAGUUUAAGUCAGCAGAUGAUACUAAGCUAGUUGAUUUUCUCCCUGGCAAUUCUUCAAAGCAAUUCAGCAUUAGUGCGAACAUGGAUUCGAAAUAGGAAAGCGCGCUCAUCGAGUUCAUCCGUGAGAACCGGGACAUCUUUGCAUGGAAACCUUCUGAUAUGCCAGGUGUACUGAGGGAACUCGCUGAGCACACUCUUAAUGUGGAUCCUAAGUUUAAACCGGUUAAACAGUUUCUCCGCCGUUCCAAUGAGGAAAGGAGCAAGGCAAUUGGUGAAGAAAUGGCCCGGCUCUUGGCAGCAGGGUUCAUAGUUGAAGUUUUUCAUCCUGAAUUGUUGGCUAACCCGGUGCUAGUACUUAAGAAAAAUGGCACUUGGUGUAUGUGUGCGGAUUAUACAGACCUUAACGAGGCCUGUCCAGCUGAUCCCUUUGCUCUCCCUCGUAUUGAUAAGAUUAUUGAUGCUACGGCGGGUUGUGAGCAAUUGAGUUUUUUAGAUGCUUAUUCUGGUUAUCAUCAAAUUAAAAUGGUAGUUAAGGACCAGGAGAAGACAACUUUUAUCACUCCCUUUGGAGCCUUCUGCUAUGUAUCUAUGCCUUUUAGGCUCAAGAGUGCCCAGGCGACUUACCAACAGUGUGUCCAGAAUUGCCUUCAUGGCCAGAUUGGGCGUAAUGUUCAUGCUUAUGUGGAUGAUAUUGUUGUGAAAUCCAGGAAGAAGGAGACGUUGAUUGAGGAUCUGAAGGAAACCUUUGACAACCUCUGGGUCUACAAGAUGAUGCUUAACCCGGCCAAGUGUGUUUUUGGUGUGCCAGCCGACAAGUUAUUGGGUUUCUUAGUAUCUGAGAGAGGCAUUGAAGCUAACCCAGAGAAGAUCAAGGCUAUAACCUCUUGGGCUAAGCCGGCGUGUAUCAAUGAUGUCCAGUGUUUGGCGGGUCACAUCGCAGCUUUGAGUUGGUUUAUAAGUAGCCUGGGAGAGAAGGCCAUCCCUCUGUAUCAGAUGAUGAAGAAAACAGAUGAUUUUGUCUGGAGCAAUGCUGCUAAUGAGGCGUUCGAUGCACUUAAGAAGCAACUGGCUGAGCCGCCGGUUCUUGCAGCUCCCAUUGAGAAGGAUCCUUUGUUGUUAUAUGUGGCUGCAAACAACUGAGCUGUUAGUGUUGCAAUUAUGGUUGAAAGGAAGGAGUCAGGUAAGGAGCACCCGGUUCAAAGGCCAGUUUAUUAUGUCAGUGAGGUGCUCAUUGAGUCUAAGCAGAGAUACCCACAUUGGCAGAAGCUGGUUUAUGGUGUGUUCAUGGCUAGUCGUAAUUUGAAGCAAUAUUUCCUUGGUCAUCCCAUCACUGUGGUUAGCUCUGCCCCUUUGGGGGAUAUUAUUCAAAACAGGGAAGCCACAGGUCGGGUAGCUAAGUGGUCAUUGAGCUUGGACCCCAUUGUGUAAAGUAUGUGCCUUAGACGGCUAUAAAAUCUCAAGCACUUGUGGAUUUCAUCAAUGAUUGGACGGAGUUGCAAAUGCCUGAGGAUAAGUCGGAUCAUACAUAUUGGACUAUUCAUUUUGAUGGACCUAGGCAGUUGGAACGCUCAGGGGCUGGAGUUAUAUUGACUUUCCCACGAGGUGAUAAAUUUUGUUGUGUUUUUAAGGUUGAUGUUCCCUUGUACUAACAAUGCAGCUGAAUAUGAAACCUUACUCCAUGGUCUUCGGAUGGCUAAAGAGAUGAAUUUAAGCCGGUAAGGUGUUUUGGUGACUCAGAUCUAGUGGCUCGGCAAGUAUCAGGGACCUGAGAUUCCAAGGAUCCACUCAUGGCGGCUUAUCGUCGAGAAGUAGAUACUAUUGCUGGUCACUUCAAAGGAUAUCAGGUGGAGCAUGUUGAUCGCAGGAAAAAUGAAGCAGCUGAUGCGUUAAGCCGUCUAGGAUCUCAACGUAAGCCGGUCCCCCCUAAUGUUUUCCUCGAUAUUUUACAUAACCCAUCAGUGAAGUUACCUACGGAGGAAGACUUGGUAGUUCCUGACCCAGAGACACAAUUGGUGGUGGUUCUUCAUGCUAUCCCUGAUUGGACUGUUCCAUAUUUGGCUUACAUGACCCGAGGUGAGUUACCUAAGGAUGAAACUUUGGCCAGGCAGAUAACCCGAUGGUCUAAGUCAAUGACUAUUGUCAAAGGUGAAAUUCAUAGAUGCAGUGUUACAGGGGUGUUUCAAUGAUGCGUUUCUCCUGAGGAGGGCCGUGAAAUUCUAAGGGAGAUUCAUGAAGGAUAUUGCGGUCAUCAUGCCGGCUCUAAGUCCCUUGUUGCUAAAGCUUUUCGUCAUGGGUUUUAUUGGCUGACGGCUCAUGCUGAUGCAGAAGAUCUGGUCAGUAUGUGAUGGUUGUCAGAAAUUCUCAAAACUUGCUCAUGUGUUGGCUCAAGAAUUGAGGAUGAUUCCAAUUACUUGGACGUUUGCAGUUUGGGGGCUAGAUAUGGUUGGGCCUUUCAAAAGGUCCAAGGAUAAAAAGACCCACCUCUUGGUGGUGGUUGAUAAGUUUACAAAUUGGAUUGAGGCUGAGCCGGUCAGCAAAUGUGAUGCAGCCACGGUGGUUCAAUUCAUUAAAAAGGUGAUAUUUCGUUUUGGGUAUCCUCAUAGUAUCAUCACCAACAAUGGUACUAAUCUAUCUUAAGGAGCAAUGGAAGAAUUCUGUGAAUAAGAGCAUAUCCACCUUGAUGUGUCAUUAGUGGCUCACCCCCAGUCUAAUGGCCAAGCUGAACGAGCAAAUCAGGAAAUCUUGAGAGGUAUUAAGCCCCGGCUUUGGUUCCUUUGCAGAGGACACUGGGUUGUUGGGUGGAAGAGUUGCCAUCAGUACUUUGGAGUAUCAAUACCACCCCCAAUAGAUCUAUGGGUUACACGCGUUUCUUCAUGGUUUAUGGAGCUGAGGCGGUUCUCCCCAAUGACAUACAUCACAAUUCGCCUCAUGUGGCGGCUUAUGUUGAAGCUGACAAUGAGAAUGCACGUCAGGAUGCUAUUGACCUGUUAGAUGAGGAGCGUGACCUUGCGGCAGCUCAUUCGGUGAUUUACCAGCAAGAUCUACGGUGUUAUCACAACCGCCGGGUUAAAACCAGAACCUUUCAAGAAGGCGACUUAGUGCUCCGGCUCAUCCAGGAUCAAACUGACAUGCACAAGUUAUUCCCACCUUGGGAAGGGCCCUUUGUGGUCAGCAAGAAUCUGAACAAUGGAUCAUACUACCUUAUCGAUGUUCGAGACCAUAAGGACUCACGCACGUCGGAGGAGGAGACCCGCCGGCCAUGGAAUAUUGCUCAUCUUCGGCCUUAUUACACCUGAGCCACCGGCUCUUGUGAUGUACAUACGUUAUCGAUGUAUAUAUUAUCAUGAAUAUAAUAAAGUUGGCAUCCCUGAUAAUUCAGGGCCUCUGUCAUUUCAUUUCUAAGAUUAUGAGUCCUUAUUGUCACUUCAUAUGAUCACUUGGGGGCUUCCUCCUCAUUGGGCAUAGCUAAAGAUUACCCUCUUGAUCCGGCUUAUACACCAUGAUUGAAAGAUACUUGGGGGCUUCCUCAUGGAGCAUAGCUCUGAUUUCGGUUUAUAGACCUGAAGUAAAACUUGGAGGCUCACUAGCAUAGCUAUGACCCUUUAGGCUUGGACGCCUAGGUGUAUUCACCAAAAAAUAUGGGUUAUCCUGCCUUGGUAAGUUGUCCACUCCUCCCACGUAAUCCUGGAAUGACCCGCUGUACUCUUAGCAAUUAUUCUUAUAAAUACACUAAACUUGUCAAAGUUAAAACGGUGAUUGGUCAUGUGAGGCCCGGCUUACUAGGUUUUGAAUUAAGGUUUAACUCAACGGUUGUGCGGCCCAUGAAAGCACUUGGGUUUUAGCCUUGGCGGCCUGUGAAAGCCUCGUUUUCUGGUUUGUGUUUCAUUUGACAUUUCUUGGAGUUUUGUUUUGUCACAUAUCAAUACAUGGUUAUAAAACCAAUUAGGGCCAUGUUGCCUUAUGGAUCAUGUAUAUCCUUAUCCGGAGUAUUAUUAACCCGAUCUGGCUUUGGACUAUAAGUCGCCAAGAUACAAUGAUCAUACACUUAGAGCUUUCCACUCAAGUUUUGGGAUGUUACCCCUUGCUGCAUGCGGUGUUAUAAACUGGCAACGUAAAUAUAUUGAACAGGCCAUUAUGCUUCAGUCUAUGGGCUAUUGCCUUUACACAUGACUUAUGAUGACUCGGCAGGAUGAACAAAUAUCACAGGUAUGAUAUUUAUUUCAUUGUAUAAGGUUUUUUAUAAAUCGGCCCUGAUUAGGACUGAUUAGUCCUUAGUGGUUUUUUAUAUAUGGGGUAUCAUGACCCGCCCUGGGGUAAACCGCCAAGGCACUUGUUGUCUGUUUAUAUACAGGGAAAAACAACAAAUCAGAUCUGCAUAAUUGAUCAUACCACAAAGCAUAAGGGACAAAUUUCCUAGUGAAGGAUCAAAGCGCUAUGCAAACAAAAUGUGCACGAUGGCACGAUAGAACAGUACUUAAUGAGCCUAUUACAUGGCUCCACGAGCCCAAAUGGAUAAAUUGUUUUUUAACAGUUCCUGGUGGUGCAAAUCAAGAACUGCCCAGCGGAUUAGUUCUCCUGGCCUUGGCGGUUUGAAGCCUCCUGCACUCGGCCAGGGAUCUGAUUCAGUCGAGUCAUCAACGACUCGAGAUCUUGUGAAAGCUUUUCCUGGGGCCAGAGUUCGGCAUCAACCCGAGUCAUCACCGUCUUCAGCCGAGCCAGAUAAGCGACAACACUGUCCAUUCGUGAUUCCAACCGCAACAAGUUCAUCGCAACAUCAUCUUUCACAGGACAAUUGAUGGGGUCGAUACCCGUCUCGACCCGCCCAGUCUCAGCUUCAAAAUCCUGACAAAGUUCUGCACAAUCAGGAAAAGUGGUGAGUUGACAAUAUAACAAAAUAUUCCAGUCGACGGCAAUUAACCAGUCGAGUGGUGAUACCUUCGAGCUUCAGGACCAGUUUCGCAGCAAGUUGUCCCAAAUAGGACUCCAGUUUGCUCGUCUUGGCUCUGAGGCUUCCGACUUCAUUGGUCAGGUUCUCCUUUUCAUUUUUUUAGUUGCUCAACUUCCUGAUUGGCUUCAGAGAUGGCAGUCUUCAGCUUCGAGUUCUCCUCUUCCAAUUUGCCAACAGAAGCCAGCUUCUUGUCCGCAAGCGCUGUCUUCUCUCGUGCUUCCUUCUGAGCAGCAGCAAGAUACAGAUCCUUCUUCUCCAGAGCUUCCUUCAUUUUCUCUAAAGAAACAACACUCUUCAGACGAGCUUGAAGCUGAAGGUUUUCACUACGCACAUCUGCUCUUGUGAAGUCACUCGGUUCAAAGAAACUGAAAGAAACAACACUGAAAAGCGCGAGCCACAAGGUGGGCAAGUGUCGAUUGGUUACCUCCCAUGAUGGCAGUUUCUUCUUGAGCAGUCUUGAGGUUCUUCUUCGCCAGUUCAAGAUCAAGUUCGAGGCUGAUGUGCUUCUUGUUUAACUCAGAAAAGUCGAGCUCCAAGAUCACAAGACCUCUGCAGUCAGCGAGAGAGAUAUGUCAGUCGACAGAAACAAAAGACAAUGACAGUGAAAGUUACUCUAAGACUACUGCCGAAUCACAUAUUCAACAGUAGUCUCAGGGACUACACCCAGUGGGUGCACUUAGCAUGCCCCCACUGACCUAGAAAAACACUCAACAUGGUCUGCCCAGUGUGAGUAAAAAAACAACAAAAGUAGAUUCUCAGACCUCAGUCGACUGCCAGCAGUCGAUCAUGGUCUCGGGGACUACACCCAAUGGGUGCACUCUGCGUGCCCCCACUGGUUCCGACAAAACAUUAAGACUUAGAAUGAGUCGAGUGGAGAGGAAGAUCUCUUAAAACUCUAAAGCAAGCACACCCCAGUGGGCGAUCGGAUAUGGAACAUAGACUCAUGAUAGUAGGUUCACAGUUUGGACAACAUUCAAAAGUUCAGUCGGGAGAUCACUGACCUUAACAUUGGUCUAUAGAGCGGUGCUGACAUUAUAGCCCACCUGGCUGGCCUCAUGCAUCACCUUCACCUGGUCCAUAACAAGGUUCACCUAGCGAAGAGCCUCCCUGGUAGCACUUGGCGAGUCAUCCGGGGUCUGGUAUGCAGUAAAAAGUGAUGGCUCCAAGGCGGCAGAAGCUGUCACUGGGUCAGAUGUGUGGAGUUGCACCGGAACAGUGGGAGCAGGAACAGUCGACCCCGACGGGCGAUCAGCCGUCAGCGGGUUGGCGAAUGUGAUGUUGGUCCGAACCAGAUCUCCGGAUCGCUCGACCACGACCUCAAGCACCGACGUCGACUGAUGGACUUGAACUUCAAGCCCUCUCCGCUUGAACCCCUGCAUCUCUUCCUCCUCUCCUGUAGAGACACUUCUUCUUCAUCAUCAUCAGGAACCACGACGAUGUCUUGUGGAACUGCAGCAAAAGAAAAACAUCGGAAAUUCAACUGACCGACAACUCAAUCGACUAAGCGAGUUCUGGUCAAGCGGACUUACCAUCUUGGGAGGUGGCUGCAUCAUCGGUCUCCUCGUCUCUUGGAGCCUUCUCAAUAUCCAUGUCAGUCGCAGCAGAGGUUGGGCUGGAAAGGAACAUGAUCCAUUCGGUAAGAACGGAAGUAUCAGUCGGCCUGGAUAAACACAAGAAAGAUGAUCACCCUGAGGCAACAGGGACGUCCAUCUUGAUCCUCGGCAGAGUCUUCCAAGUCUUAGGAAGAGUGACCUUGGGCUGCUUGGCGACCUUCUCUGCUGGAUCCGGAGUCGACGUCCGAGUGCGCUUCUGCGUUUGGGUGCUUGGAGCCACGUUCUUUCCGCGCCCGCCUACCGGGUCAUGGUGUUGCUUGGAUCGGUGUUCGGAGCGAGGCGGCGAGUCGACUGAUACGUCUCCAAUGUAUCUAUAAUUUUUUAUUGUUUCAUGCUAUUAUAUUACCCCUUUUGGAUGUUUAUGGGCUUUAUUUUACACACUUAUAUCAUUUUUGGGACUAACCUAUUAACCGGAGGCCCAGCCCAUAUUGUUGUUUUAUUGCCUGUUUCAGUAUUUCGAAGAAAAGGAAUAUCAAACAGAGUCCAAACGGAAUGAAACCUUCGGCAGCGAUAUUUUUGGGAAGAAUGUCAUCCUGGAGACUUGGAGUCCACGUCAGAAGAUCCUCGAGGAGGCCACAAGAUAGGAGGGCGCGCCCCCCUGUCUCGUGGACCCCUCGAGCACCCCCCGACCGACUUCUUUUGCCUAUAUAACCCUACGUACCUUAAAACCAUCGAAUAUCAAGAUAGACCGGGAGUUCCGCCGCCGCAAGCCUCUAUAGCCACCAAAAACCUCUCGAGACCGUUCUGGCACCCUGCCGGAGGGGGAAUCCAUCACCGGUGGCCAUCUACAUCACCCCGGCGCUAUCCAUGACGAGAAGGGAGUAGUUCACCCUCGGGGCUGAGGGUAUGUACCAGUAGCUAUGUGUUUGAUCUCUCUCGCGCGCGCGUUCUCUCUAUGGCACGAUCUUGAUGUAUCGCGAGCUUUGCUAUUAUAGUUAGAUCUUAUGAUGUUUCUCCCCCCUCUACACUCUUGUGAUGAAUUGAGUUUCCCUCGUGAAGUUAUCUUAUCGGAUUGAGUCAUUAUUUGAGAACACUUGAUGUAUGUCUUGCUGUGUUUAUCUGUGGUGACAAUGGGAUAUCACGUGCCACUUGAUGUAUGUUUUGGUGACCAACUUGCGGGUUCCGCCCAUGAACCUAUGCAUAGGGGUUGGCACACGUUUUCUUGACUCUCCGGUAGAAACUUUGGGGCACUCUUUGAAGUACUUUGUGUUGGUUGGAUGAAUUUGAGAUUGUGUGAUGCAUAUCGUAUAAUCAUGCCCACGGAUACUUGAGGUGAAAAUGGAGUAUCUAGGUGACAUUAGGGUUUUGGUUGAUUUGUGUCUUAAGGUGUUAUUCUAGUAUGAACUCUUGAAUAGAUUGAUCCGAAAGAAUAACUUUGACGUGGUUUCGUACCCUACCAUAAUCUCUUUGUUUGUUCUCCGCUAUUAGUGGCUUUGGAGUGACUCUUUGUUGCAUGUUGAGGGAUUGUUAUAUGAUCUAUCUAUGUUAUUAUUGUUGAGAGAACUUGCACUAGUGAAAGUAUGAACCCUAGGCCUUGUUUCCUAUCAUUGCAAUACCGUUUACGCUCACUUUUAUCAUCAGUUACCUUGCUGUUUUUAUAUUUUCAGAUUACAAAUACCUAUAUCUACCAUCCAUAUUGCACUUGUAUCACCAUCUCUUCGCCGAACUAGUGCACCUAUACAAUUUACCAUUGUAUUGGGUGUGUUUGGGACACAAGAGACUCUUUGUUAUUUGGUUGCAGGGUUAUUUGAGAGAGACCAUCUUCAUCCUACGCCUCCCACGGAUUAAUAAACCUUAGGUCAUCCACUUGAGGGAAAUUUGCUACUGUCCUACAAACAUGUGCACUUGCAGGCCCAACAACGUCUACAAGAAGAAGGUUGUGUAGUAGACAUCAAGCUCUUUUCUGGCGCCGUUGCCGGGGAGGUGAGUGCUUGAAGGUAUAUCUUUAGAUCUUGCAAUCGAAUCUUUUUGUUUCUUGUUUUAUCACUAGUUUAGUUUAUAAAAGAAAACUACAAAAAAAUGGAUUUGAGUUUGUCUCAUACGCUUCAUCUUUUUAAUAUCUUUCGUGAGUAUGAUGAAAAGGAAAAUUGUGCUCAAGUGCUAGAAGAAGAAGUCUAUAAAAUUUUUGGUAUUGCAUCUUUGAAUGAUGAGCAUGAUUGCAAUGUUGUUAGUAUGAAUCCCUUGAAUAUCCAUGAUGCUAAUGAUAUGCGAGGCCAUAAGCUUGGGGAAGCUAUUUUUGAUGAAUAUGAUAUUUUUUGUCCCCCAAGUUUUGAUGAGAAUAUUUAUUUUGAUGAAAGCAUGCCUCCUAUUUAUGAUGAUUAUAUUGAUGAAAGUGGGUUUGGAAGAGUGUCAACUUUAGGAAGUAAUGAUCCCACUACUUUGGGGGAUGUUGAAUAUUACUGUGAUAAUUAUGAAAGUGGAUUUGGAGAGGUCAUAACUUUAUUUAGUGAUGAUUCCACUAUUUCGGAAGAGGUUCCAAUUGAUUAUGAGAACAAAGUUGCUAUCUAUAAUGAUUAUUGUGAUGACUUGUAUGCUAUUAGGAAUAAUGAUAACCAUGAAACUUGUCAUCAUGAUUUUAGUUUUCAAUUGGAUUAUGCCUCACAUGAUAAUUAUUUUGUUGAGUUUGCUCCCACUACUAUUGAUGAGAAGAAUUUUGCUUUUGUGGAGAGUAGUAAAUUUUCUAUGCUUGUAGAUCAUGAAAAGAAUGCUUUAGGUGCUGGUUAUAUUGUUGAAUUCAUUCAUGAUGCUACUGAAAAUUAUUAUGAGGGAGGAACUUAUGCUUGUAGGAAUUGCAAUGAUAUCAAGUUUCCUCUCUAUGUGUUGAAAAUCUUGAAGCUAUGCUUAUUUUACCUUCCUAUGCUAGUUGAUUAUUGUUCACAUAAGUUGUUUGCUCACAAAAUACCUAUGCAUAGGAAGAGGGUUAGGCUUAAAUGUGCUAGCCAUAUGCUUCAUGAUGCUCCCAUUGUGUUUCAAUUCUUAUCUUUUAUGUGAGCAUCAUUGUCAUCAUCAUGCCUAACUAGAAAGGCAUUAAAGAAAAAUGCUUGUUGGGAGAAAACCCAAUAUUUAUCCUUACUGUUUUUCUGUGUACACAUGAUUAUGAUACUGUAUUAAUUAUGUUUUAUAAGUUUUGUUUCAAUAAAGUGCCAAGUAAGACCUUUAGGAUGGCUUACGGGUGAUAGUUGUGUUGAUCCUGCUGAGAAUCAGAAAAUUUUGCACCCAGUAAAUUAGUUUUGUUAAUUCACAGAAACGUGCUUAUGAUAUGAUUCUUUUUGCUCUGGAUUGGUACACAAAUUUCUAGGACUUACUAAUUUGGUAGAAUUUUUGGAGUUUCAGAAGUAUACGUUUGAUACAGAUUACUACAGACUGUUCUGUUUUUGACAGAUUCUGUUUUUCAUGUGUUGUUUGCUUAUUUUGAUGCAUCUAUGGCUAGUAUUAAGUGGUAUGAGCCAUAGAGAAGUUGGAUUACAGUAUAUAGUACACAAUUAUGAAUUUAGAAUGAGUUCAUUACAGUACCUAAGUGGUGGUUUUAUUUUCUUAUACUAACGGAGCUUACGAGUUUUCUGUUGAGUUUUGUGUUGUGGAGUUUUCAACUUUGGGGUAAAGAUUCGAUGGACUAUGGAAUAAAGAGUGGCAAGAGCCUAAGCUUGGGGAUUCCCAAGGCACCCCAAGGUAACAUUCAAGAACAACCAAGAGCCUAAGCUUGGGGAUGCCCCGGAAGGCAUCCCCUCUUUCUUCUUCGUUCAUCGGUAACUUUACUUGGAGCUAUAUUUUUAUUCGCCACAUGAUAUGUGUUUUGCUUGGAGAGGCAUUUUCUAUUGUUAGUAUUUGCUUGAUGUUAUUUAGAAUAAUUUUUUGCAACUUUAGUUUCAAUAAAAAUUUCAAGGAUAGCCUUUGCCAUGCUUAUUUUGCUAGUAUACAUGUUGCUGUUUGAAAACAGAAAGUUUACCGUUGUUGCAAAAAUUCCCUAGAAAAGUCAGAGCAUGAUAUAAUGUUGAAACUUUUUUCAUAAUGAGCUCUGAUAAAUUUACUACAGUGGGAAUUUUAUUUAAUAAUUUUUGGAGUUAGUGAAGUAUUGAUACUCUUGCAUUCUUUACAGACUGUACAGUUUUGACAGAUUGCUGUUAUGGUUGCAUUGUUUGCAUAUGUUUGCUUGUUUAAUGAUUCUAUUUGAGGAUAGGAGUAUUAAAUAUGCAUAGGCAUUUAGUAUUAGAUGUUGAAUAAUAAAUUAAGUGAUUUGUUACAGUAGAAAAUGAUAAGGUUUUGCAUUGGUUUAUACUAACCUAUCUCACGAGUUCUUGUUGAGUUUGGUGUGAAUGAAGCUUUUUGAUAAAAAGAAGAGAAACCAUGGUAUGAGAGGAAUUAAGGAGACACAAAAGUUCAAGAUUGGGGAUGCCCAAGGCACACCAAGAUAAUAUUUCAAGAAGUCUCAAGCAUCUAAGCUUGGGGAUGCCCCGGUAGGCAUCCCACCUUUCUUCUUCAACAACUAUCGGUUAGUAUCGGUUGAGCCUAAGUUUUUGCUUCUUCACUUGAGUUGUGCUAACCUUGCAAUGUCAUUUUAUAUUUUGCUUGCUGUUUGAAUACAAUAACAAGAUCUGAAAUUCUCAAAUGUUAGAGAGUCUUCUCAUAGUUGCACAAUUAUUCGACUACUCAUUGAUCUUCAGUUAUAUUUCUCGGAGUAGUUUGUCAUUUGCUCUAGUGCUUCACUUAUAUCUUUUAGAGCACGGCGGUGGUUAUAUUUUGUAGAAAUUGCUAGAAUCUCAUGCUUCACUUAUAUUAUUUUGAGAGUCUUUUAGAACAGCAUGGUAUUUGCUAUGGUUACAAAGUUGGUCCUGGAAUGAUGAGCAUCCAAGUUGGGUAUAAUAAAAACUAUCAUAGAAAGUGAAUUGGAUGCUAUGAUCAAUUUGAUGCUUGAUAAUUGUUUUGAGAUAUGGAGGUAGUGAUAUUAGAGUCAUGCUAGUUGAGGUGAUUAUGAAAAAUACUUGUGUUGGGGUUUGUGAUUCCCGUAGCAUGCACGUAUGGUGAACCGCUUUGUGAUGAAGUUGGAGCACAAUUUUAUUUAUUGAUUGUCUCCCUUAUGAGUGGCGGUCGGGGAUGAGUGAUGGUCUUUUCCUACCAAUCUAUCCCGCUAGGAGCAUGCAUGUAGUGCUUUGGUUUUUGAUGACUUCUAGAUUUUUGCAACAAGUACAUGAGUUCUUUUGACUAAUGUUGAGUCCAUGGAUUAUACGCACCUCACCCUUCCACCAUUGCUAGCCUCUCUUGUGCCGCGCAACUUUCGCCGGUACCAUACACCCACUAUUUACCUUCCUCAAAACAGCCACCAUACCUACAUAUCAUGGCAUUUCCAUAGCCAUUCUGAGAUAUAUUGCCAUGCAACUUUCCACCGUUCCGUUCAUAUGACACGCAUUACUUUUGUCAUAUUGCUCUUUGCAUGAUCAUGUAGUUGACAUCGUAUUUGUGGCAAGGCCACCUUCAUAAUCUUCAUACAUGUCGCUCUUGAUUCAUUGCAUAUCCCGGUACACCGCCGGAGGCAUUCAUAUAGAGUCAUAUCUUGUUCUAGCUUUGAGUUGUAAUUCUUGAGUUGUAAAUCCAUAAAAGUGUGAUAAUCUUCAUUCUUAAAGCAUUGUCCCAGUGAAGAAAGGAUGAUGGAGACUAUGAUUCCCCCACAAGUCGGGAUGAGACUUCGGACUUUACAAAAAGAAAAAAAAGAAAAAAAAGAGAAAGGCCAAAAAAGGCCAAAGAAAAAAAGAAAAAAAAAGAGAAAAAAUAAAAUAAGUAAAAUAAAAUGAGAGAAAAAGAGAGAAGGGACAAUGCUACUAUCUCUUUUCCACACUUGUGCUUCAAAGUAGCACCAUGAUCUUCAUGAUAGAGAGUCUCAUAUGUUGUCACUUUCAUAUACUAGUGGGAAUUUUUCAUUAUAGAACUUGGCUUGUAUAUUCCAAUGAUGGGCUUCCUCAAAAUUCCCUAGGUCUUCGUGAGCAAGCAAGUUGGAUGCACACCCACUUAGUUUCUUUUGUUGAACUUUCAUAUAUUUGUAGCUCUAGUGCAUCCGUUGCAUGGCAAUCCCUACUCACUCACAUUGAUAUCUAUUAAUGGGCAUCUCCAUAGCCCGUUGAUACGCCUAGUUGAUGUGAGACUAUCUUCUCCUUUUUGUUUCUCCACAACCACCAUUCUAUUCCACAUAUAGUGAUAUGUCACUACUAGGGAAAACCCUAGUAGUAGCGCGGGUUUUGAGGCUAGCAGCAGCGCGGGUGGCCGCGCUACUAAUAAGGCGCUACAGCUAACUCAUAGUAGUAGUGCGGCCCUAACCCCGCUACUACUGUUGACGAUAUCAGCAGCGCUUUUUAGGAAUGCGCUACUAUUAACUAGCUGUAGCGAUUUCCCCAUCCCUCACUACUGCUAUAUCUUUCAUCAUUUUCCAUUACCCCUUUCCCUUUCAGUUUCCCUUUCAGAUACUAGAUACUAGGUACUGCUAGUACAUAUCAAAUUCAUAAACCAUUACUAGGUAGUACUCCCUUCGUUACAAAUUACUCUUCGUGGUUUUAGUUCAAACCACGACGAGUAAUUUGGAACGAAGGGAGUACUAGAUAACAAUUUCAUGCAUAGUCAAGAUGCAUCCUCAAGCAGUACAAGGUCAUAUCAACGGCCAUCAUCAUAUGUAGUUCUAGAUGAUAUCGACGACGAUCAUCAUAUGUAGUUCUAGAUGAUAUAGCCACACACACACAUAUGUAGUUCUAGAUGAUAUCGAAGACAAUCAUCAUCCUCAAGCCUGGGCGGUUGGUGUUCCUAAUAGUAAUUAGGAUGGCCUGUCCAACACGAAGAUUCUUGCCAUCGAGGAAUUUCUUCCACCCAACCGAGUUUAAGUGUGUGCGACCGUCCGUGUCCACGUGGUAAGUACAGGUUGUGAUGGAGCCCCUUGCAGUAAGGCGUAGUCCAGCUAAGCCUUCUUCAUCAGGCUCGAUACCAUAACUCACAGAUAUGCUCUUUGCCAAUUUUUGAAUAAGAAAAACAUAUCAAUUAAUAAAUAGCCUCGCAAAUAAGUACAUAUGGAUUAUCUACACUAUUAAUAGUUUCCUUAGAUUCUACACUAAUAAGCAUGUGAUCGAACUCUACACUAAAACAUAUCAUCGACUAGAUUCCACACAACAUACCAUAUCAUUGGACUGUACACUAAGUAAUUCAUCGGAUAAUUUGCAUUUGUAAGUGUAACAUACCAUAUCAUGUCGAUCAACCAUGGUAUUUGUCAAGCGGGUCACGAAUGGCACCCCGACAAAGUCAGCACGUGGCGGAAUUAUGUCCCACAGGUUGGACACCUCCUCCUCACUCAGCCUUGUUCUUUGAGCUACGAUGGCUUCAUGAAGUGGGUCCUCAUCAUCUUCAUCGAGUGGGUCCUCAUUAUCUUCAUCAUCUUUAUCAUCUUUGUCAUCUUCAUCAUCUUCCACCAGGUUGAGAUAAAUGACAGCUAGCUUGGGUCUUUCUGCUUGGAAGGAGAAGCUGAUCAACUCACCACCAGUAAGACGCAUGCGAGCGAUGAAACGGGCCCAUCCAUCUCCUCCAAUCUGUGACAUAUUGCGUCCUUUCUCGACCUCCAUAGUGUACGGCCCCACAGGAGCCUCAAAUGUCACAGUGUCUCCUGUCAGCUUGUUGAAUUUCAACCUCACAUUGCAUGGAACGAUCUGUGUAAAAUAAGCAAAAUGACACAACGCAGUAAUGCCAACACUAAAAAUAAAAUAGUUAUUACAUUACAUCUAAUUUCUUACCGCCGCAUGAUGAAAACUUGGCUAGAAGUAGAUGCCGAACAGCUUGCCAGUUGCAAGGCUGCUGGCGCAUCUUGACUUGCACAGUCGACAUAGUGGUGGUGGUGGUGGCGCCAUUUUUUCUAAAGCAAUAUGAGCAAAGGAUUAACGAUCAACUAAAUCAAAAUGUUCUAAGUGAACUAAAUCAACUAGCCUACUAAAUCAACUAAAUCAUAUCAACUAAAUAAAAAUGUUGCAUAUGAACUAGCCUACUAAAUCAACUAAAUCAAAAUGUUCUAAGUCAACUAAAUCAACUAGCCUACUAAAUCAACUAAAUCAAAAUGUUCUAAAUCAACUAAAUCAACUAGCCUACUAAAUCAACUAAAUCAAAAUGUUCUAAAUCAACUAAAUGAACUAGCCUACUAAAUCAACUAAAUCAAAAUGUUCUAAGUCAACUAAAUCAACUAAAUGAAUUAGCCUACUAAAUCAACUAAAUNNNNNNNNNNNNNNNNNNNNNNNNNNNNNNNNNNNNNNNNNNNNNNNNNNNNNNNNNNNNNNNNNNNNNNNNNNNNNNNNNNNNNNNNNNNNNNNNNNNNNNNNNNNNNNNNNNNNNNNNNNNNNNNNNNNNNNNNNNNNNNNNNNNNNNNNNNNNNNNNNNNNNNNNNNNNNNNNNNNNNNNNNNNNNNNNNNNNNNNNNNNNNNNNNNNNNNNNNNNNNNNNNNNNNNNNNNNNNNNNNNNNNNNNNNNNNNNNNNNNNNNNNNNNNNNNNNNNNNNNNNNNNNNNNNNNNNNNNNNNNNNNNNNNNNNNNNNNNNNNNNNNNNNNNNNNNNNNNNNNNNNNNNNNNNNNNNNNNNNNNNNNNNGAUCAACUAAAUCAAAAUGUUCUAAGUGAACUAAAUCAACUAGCCUACUAAAUCAACUAAAUCAUAUCAACUAAAUAAAAAUGUUGCAUAUGAACUAGCCUACUAAAUCAACUAAAUCAAAAUGUUCUAAGUCAACUAAAUCAACUAGCCUACUAAAUCAACUAAAUCAAAAUGUUCUAAAUCAACUAAAUGAACUAGCCUACUAAAUCAACUAAAUCAAAAUGUUCUAAGUCAACUAAAUCAACUAAAUGAAUUAGCCUACUAAAUCAACUAAAUCAAAAUGUUCUAAGUCAAGUAAAUCAACUAGCCUACUAAAUCAACUAAAUUAUAUCAACUAAAUCAAAAUGUUGCAUAUGAGCAGGAGGGAGAAGGAGGGGCCACUCGAGGAGGGAUAAGAGAGUAGGAUGGAGGAGGAAGGCGGAGCGAGGAGGGGCCGACCGGCGCGGCCAGUUGAGGGAGGACGGAGGAGGAAGGCGGAGCGAGGGGCCGGCCGGCGCGGCCAGUUGAGGGAGGACGGAGGAGGAAGGCGGAGCGAGGAGGGGCCGGCCAGCGGCGAGUGGAGAGGGAGGACGGAGGAGGAGGCCGGUACCGAGUCCACCAAGGAGGAGGAGGAGGUGACGGCGCGCGGGCAGACGGAGGAGGGGCGACGGGGGUGGACCGGCGCGCGGCGCAGACAGAAAGGAUUGAGUGGCUGUGUGAGUGGAUCGGAUAAAGGAGAUGGGGAGAUGAAUGGCUUAGCAGUAGCGCGCUUUAGGAAAAAAGCUACUGCUAAGCUAUCUAGCAGCAGGGCCUUUCACAAUAAAGCGCUACUGCUACGUAAAAAUAGACUUUCUUUAAUAUAUCAAAAAUACAUUGAUCAUCAACGAUCUUUUUGUGUACAAUCUGAUUUGUCAAUAUGAGUCCUCACCGGUUUAGGAACAGGUGAAGACUCAUAUUGCAGCCACAAAUUCUACACAUAGAGUUCAAUGAAGAUCAAGUGCUUGUCAAAGUUUGAGAAGUAACAUAUUUAAGGUGGUAGAAACUCUCUUCACGGAGCGAGGUGGGACUAAAUUUUUGUAGGAAACUUAGCAGUAGCGCUUAUCUGAGAAAUGCGCUGCUACUAUGCUACGUAGCAGUAGCGCGCCUCGCUAUAACGCGUUGCUGCUAUAACUAGCCUCGCGGCGGCCUCGUGGGAAUAAUAGCAGCAGCGCGUCUUUGGGAGGACGCGCUACUGCUAUAUUUGUUUCAGCAGCGAAUUUCGUCUGGGUGCGCUACUGCUAGUUAGCAGCAGCGAGUUAUUUUGAAGCGCGCUGCUGAUAAGAUUCUGUGUAUAGGCUUUUCCCUAGUAGUGUGUCCAUGGCUCAUGCUCAUGUAUUGCCUGAAAGUUGAAAAAGUUUGAAAUUACUAAAGUGUGAAACAAUUGCUUGGCUUGUCAUUGGGGUUGUUCAUGAUUAAAUACUUUGUGUGAUGAAGAUAGAGCGACAGCCAUACUAUAUGAUUUUGUAGGGAUAACUUUCUUUGUCCAUGUUAUUUUGAGAAGACAUGAUUACUUUGAUUAGUAUGCUUGAAGUAUCACCAUUUUCAUGUUAAUAUGAACUUUUAUUUUGUAUCACUUGGAUCUGAACAUUCAUGCCACAAUAAAUAAAAUUACAUUGAGAAUUAUGCUAGGUAGCAUUCCACAUCAAAAAUUUCUUUUUUAUCAUUUACCUACUCGAGGACGAGCAGGAAUUAAGCUUGGGGAUGCUUGAUACGUCUCCAACGUAUCUAUAAUUUUUUAUUGUUCCAUGCUAUUAUAUUACCCCUUUUGGAUGUUUAUGGGCUUUAUUUUACACAUUUAUAUCAUUUUUGGGACUAACCUAUUAACCGGAGGCCCAGCCCAUAUUGUUUUUUUAUUGCCUGUUUCAGUAUUUCGAAGAAAAGGAAUACCAAACGGAGUCCAAACAGAAUGAAACCUUCGGCAUCGUUAUUUUUGGGAAGAAUAUCAUCCUGGAGACUUGGAGUCCACAUCAGAAGAUCCUCGAGGAGGCCACCAGAUAGGAGCCCCCCCCCUACAGGACGCGCCCCCUGUCUCAUGGACCCCUCGAGCACCCCCCGACCGACUUCUUUCGCCUAUAUAACCCUACGUACCCUAAAACCAUCGAAUAUCAAUAUAGAUCGGGAGUUCCGCCGCCACAAGCCUCUGUAGCCACCAAAAACCUCUCGGGAUCCCGUUCCGGCACCCUGCCAGAGGGGGAAUCCAUCACCGGUGGCCAUCUACAUCACCCCGGCGCUAUCCAUGACGAGGAGGGAGUAGUUCACCCUCGGGGCUGAGGGUAUGUACCAGUAGCUAUGUGUUUGAUCUCUCUCUCGCGCGCGUUCUCUCUAUGGCACGAUCUUGAUAUAUCGCGAGCUUUGCUAUUGUAGUUAGAUCUUAUGAUGUUUCUCCCCCCUAUACUCUCUUGUGAUGAAUUGAGUUUCCCACGUGAAGUUAUCUUAUCGGAUUGAGUCUUUAUUUGAGAACACUUGAUGUAUGUCUUGCCGUGUUUAUCUGUGGUGACAAUGGGAUAUCACGUGCCACUUGAUGUAUGUUUUGGUGACAAACUUGCGGGUUCUGCCCAUGAACCUAUGCAUAGGGGUUGGCACACAUUUUCUUGACUCUCCGGUAGAAACUUUGGGGCACUCUUUGAAGUACUUUGUGUUGGUUGGAUGAAUUUGAGAUUGUGUGAUGCAUAUCGUAUAAUCAUGCCCACGGAUACUUGAGGUGACAAUGGAGUAUCUAGGUGACAUUAGGGUUUUGGUUGAUUUGUGUCUUAAGGUGUUAUUCUAGUAUGAACUCUUGAAUAGAUUGACCCGAAAGAAUAACUUUGAGGUGGUUUCGUACCCUACCAUAAUCUCUUCGUUUGUUCUCCGCUAUUAGUGGCUUUGGAGUGACUCUUUGUUGCAUGUUGAGGGAUUGUUAUAUGAUCUAUCUAUGUUAUUAUUGUUGAGAGAACUUGCACUAGUGAAAGUAUGAAUCCUAGGCCUUGUUUCCUAGCAUUGCAAUACCGUUUACGCUCACUUUUAUCAUUAGUUACCUUGCUGUUUUUAUAUUUUCAGAUUACAAAUACCUAUAUCUACCAUCCAUAUUGCACUUGUAUCACCAUCUCUUCGCCGAACUAGUGCACCUAUUCAAUUUACCAUUGUAUUGGGUGUGUUGGGGACACAAGAGACUCUUUGUUAUUUGGUUGCAGGGUUAUUUGAGAGAGACCAUCUUCAUCCUACGCCUCCCACAGAUUGAUAAACCUUAGGUCAUCCACUUGAGGGAAAUUUGCUACUGUCCUACAAACCUGUGCACUUGUAGGCCCAACAACAUCUACAAGAAGAAGGUUGUGUAGUAGACAUCAUCGACCGCCUCCUCGUCAUUUGACUCCUUGCUCUCCUCCUCAUCAUCAUCAUCUGAAGAUUCCCACUCACUGCUCUCCUCCGCACUGGCCUCUCCCUCCUGGCUUUGCUUCAGAACUUGUUCACCAUUGGGCAUCGAAUACAUGUCCGUAAAAACCUACAAGACAAGAAGUCGAGUGAAAGUCAGUCGAGCUCAAGAGCAGUCGGAAUGUAUAUGCAAAAAACAGUCGUAAUGAAGAACACACCUUGUCGGGCUGAUUCUCAUCACUGAAGGGGAAGACUCUCCUGGCUCCUCUGGGGUUGUCCUUAUUGCCUGUAAUGCUCUUCAACCACAUGGACACGGUCUUGGCUGGCACUUCCUAUGGAUGAACCCAAGCAGUGUCGUCAGCUGCAGAGUACAUCCACAUGGGAUGGUCACGAGCCUGGAGGGGCUGGAUGCGUCGACUGAGAAAUACUUCCGGCAGAUCCAUACCAGUGACACCCUUGUUGAUCAGUUGGACCACCCUAUCAACUAGCAUGUUUGUCUCCAUGUUCUCAGUAGCAGUCACUUUCAGUAAGGAAGGAGUCUGGACACGGUCAAAGGUGAAGUGGGGAAGUCCGGUCGACUGACCUGGGGUUGCGAGGUCUUGGCAGUAGAACUAGGUCGACUGCCAGCCUCUAACCGAUUCACAGAGAGUCAUGGAAGGGAAAGAGCUCCUUUACCAUUUUUCGAUACCCAAACCCCCACACAUCUGAUUGACAUAGGGUUUCUCGUCGCUCGUAUUUGCUUUCUUUACCGACUGAGAACGGAUGGUGAAAAUAUGCUUGAAAAGACCCCAGUGCGGUCAAAACCCAAGAAAGUUUUCGCACAUAGACACGAAGGCAGUAAGGUAUGUGAUGGUAUUGGGAGAAAAGUGAUGGAGUUGGGCACCGAAGAAAUUCAAGAAUCCCCGAAAGAAGGGUGCAGAGGAAGUGAGAAGGCCCGGUCGACGUGGGUAGCGAGCAGUACACACUCACCCGGUCGAGGUUGCGGCUCCGACUCUCCCUCAGGCAGCCUUGCUGCACCCUUGGGGAUCAGCCCGGACUUCACCGGCUCGUCCAAAUCUUCCUACCGGAGCGAAGACCGGAUCCAAUCACCUUGGAUCCAACCUGGCAGCAGCCCCGAGCGCGACGACGACCCGCGAUUCUGCUUCUUGCCCUUCGCCGCCCCCGUCGCCUUCUUCGCGCGUUCCAGUGCCGCUGUCUUGUCCUUCACCAUAGUGGCGGAGCAGCGGUGUCGAGAGCGGAGGAGCCGAAUGCGGUGGAGAAGCGGAGGAGGAAGAGAGAAAACAGACGCGCACAGUACAGACGCCUCGGCUCCGUCGCCUUAUAAAGGGCCGCUUUCGAGUGGCUGACGCGUGGGACCAGACGAUCCUGUCAAAUCCCGCAAUAGUCACGCGCGUCAUAUGUGGCAAAAAAGGUGGCGCGGAGAUCGAGGCGCUCCUGUUUAUCCACCCCGCUUACUUCGGCGUGCUCCGUCCCGCGCGCUUCCUUGAAAUUUCGAAUCCCGUGAAAUCCAGGAUACACUGCAAUCAAUCGCGCCAAAGAUUCUGCGCCCCAAAGCAAUACUCGACAGAUGAUGUCACAAGUUCACUCGACGAUUUUUUGAAUCGAUCAAGGCGACUGAAUCAAAGCUGAAGUUUCAACAGGAGUCCUCCAUCCUGCGUGAAACACUCGCGAGGCGCAAAGCUCAGAGCAAGUUCAACUUCAACCUACUUUCCACUCAGACCUUAAUCCAUUCGGGGGCUACUAAUGAGGAUACAGACCCGGGGUAGGGUCAUAGGCCUGACCUAUACGCCCUACCCAAGGUCACUACCCUAGAAGCAAAGAAGUCCAAGAGACGACAAAGAACCCCCAGUCAAAGGUGUUGAGUGCAAUCCACUCGACCAAUCAUAUCACUCAGGUACCCUUCUUACCUGAUGUCACUCGACCAUACAAGGAACCAUUUGACCUACUGAAGACCAGGAGUCACUCAGCACUGCAACGGUCAGGCAUUCGCUCCGGAGUCUUAAAGGUCAUUAAUAUCACUUAUAGUUAGCGUUACCAGUAACGCCCUGUCUUUACGUACAUUGAACCCCUUGUAAUGGAGGAUGGUUGGGGUCCUGGUGCACUCUAUAUAAGCCACCCCCCUCCUCUGGCACAAGGGUUCACUCCCUGUAACACCACACACAUAUAAUCCAGUCGACCGCCUCCGGGCACUGAGACAUAGGGCUAUUACUUCCUCCGUGAAGGGCCUGAACUCGUAAAUCUUGUGUGUACACCUUCACCAUAGCUAAGAUCUUGCCUCUCCAUACCUACCCCCCUUUGUACUGUCAGUCUUAGGACCACGAUAGGUAUGAUGAUACCGACGAUCGAAUCUCUGGCAAGUAACAUACCGAUGACAAAGGGAACAAUGUAUGUUGUUAUGCGGUUUGACCGAUAAAGAUCUUCGUAGAAUAUGUAGGAACCAAUAUGAAAAUCCAGGUUCCGCUAUUGGUUAUUGACCGGAGACGUGUCUCGGUCAUGUCUACAUAGUUCUCGAACCCGUAGGGUCCGCAUGCUUAACGUUCGAUGAUGAUUUGUAUUAUGAGUUUAUGUGAUUUGAUGUACCGAAGGUUGUUGGAGUCCUGGAUGAGAUCACGGACAUGACGAGGAGUCUCGAAAUGGUCGAGACAUAAAGGCUGAUAUAUUGGACGACUAUAUUCGGACACCGGAAGUGUUUCAGAGAAGUUUCGGAUAAAACUGGAGUGCCGGAGGGUUAUCGGACCCCCCCGGGGGAACUAAUGGGCCUUGAUGGGCCUUAGUUGAGAGAGAGAGGGGCGGCCAGGGCAGGCCGCACGCCCCCUCCCCCUUGAGUCCGAAUUGGACUACGAAGAGGGGGGGCUUUCCUUCUCCCUUUCCCUCUCCUUCCUUCCCCAUCUCUCCCUUUUGGUGGAAACCUACUAGGACUUGGAGUCCUAGUAGGAUUCCCCUCUUGGGGGCGCGCCAAGGAGGGUCGGCCGGCCUCCCCUCUCCUCCUUUAUAUACAGGGGAGGAGGGCACUCCAUAGACACACAAGUUGAUUUUUUAGCCGUGUGCGGUGCCCCCUCCACAGUUUUCCACCUCGGUCAUAUCGUCGUAGUGCUUAGGUGAAGCCCUGCGUAGGUAACUUCAUCAUCACCGUCACCACGCCAUCAUGCUGACGGAACUCUUCCUCGGCCGUAACUGGAUCUAGAGUUUGAGGGAUGCCACCGAGCUGAACGUGUGCAGAUCGCGGAGGUGUCGUGCGUUCGGUACUUGAUCGGUUGGAUCGCGAAGACGUUCGACUACAUCAACCGCGUUACUUAACGCUUCCGCUUUCGGUCUACGAGGGUACAUGGACACACUCUCCCCCCGUUGCUACGCAUCACCUAGAUAGAUCUUGCUUGAUCAUAGGAUUUUUUUUGAAAUUACCACGUUUCCCAACACCGACAACAGAGCCAGCCUACAAAAAAAUGAAUAGUUUUGUCGCCGGCAACACAGCCAGCCCCCAAAAUGAUAGGUUUCUCGCCGGCACACAACCAUUGGCCCAGCGGUCGGCACCCAUGCCAGGCUCCAAAAGAACGGCCAUGGCCUAACAGACGACCUAGUUCAGGCCGUCGGCAUCAAACAUCUCCUUCCGCCUGGCCUCGAACCAGCUCCUCGUCUUCUCGCUCAUCUUGCUCAAGUCCAUGCUCAUGAUCUCUAGGGCCACCUCCUUUGCUUUGGUUGCAGCGUUGGUGGCCUCAAUGUCGAGCUGCCUCUGCCUAGAUGUGACAUUGGAGGCCUCGAUGUCGAGCUGCCUUUGCAGGGACGCCUCCUUCAUGUCGAUCUUCCUCUUCUUGGCCGCCUCCUCCAUCUCAAGCUUUUUCCUUUGAAGCUCUAGGUAUUACUUCAUUUGCUCGUCCUUGCUUUGUCGCUUUUUCUCGUCCCUCACAUCCUUUUGAGACAUCAUAUCAUGCAAAGUCUCAUGAUAGGCCAUGGAUGACGCAUCACGUAUGUCGUGCACCUUGGAGUUGGUCUUGCCCCUCGGCCUCUUCAACGCCUAACCAUCUCCACCUCCGGACAACGCGGCCGUCUUCUUGCCUCUCUUCCUUUGAAGUUCACGGUAUUGAUCUUUGAACUUGGGGCAAUUGUUGACGAUCGUCCAACAAUGUGUAAGAGUGAAGAGCUUGUCAUUGUGCCGGGACUUUAAUGCUUCCAAAGAUUGAAAUGCCUACACGACCAACAACAAUUGAACAUGCAAACAUAUAGAAGGCCGAAGUCUCGUGGCCGUAGCAACGAAAGAACUAGGAUGAGGAGAGCAUACCAUGUCCCCAGUGCCGAGACCACUCACGGUUCGUGCUUCAACGCUCUCAAGUGCGGCACAAUACUUGUUGCAUUCUUAUUGGAUGAACAACCACCUCUUUUGAAUCGAGGUGAUGCCACGGUCGCUCGUAAAUUGGUAGGGCGCAAACAACUUUUUUUGAUGGAAUGUCUUGUGAACUCUUGUCCAAAAAACAAGUCCCUUUUAUUGCGCAUCGGUCCUUGUAUCUUGACUAAUCUCCAUCCAACUUUGGCUAAUCAACUUGUCCUCUUCUUGUGAGUAUGAACCCGUACGAAUGCUCUUCUUUCUCUUUUGUGCUUCCGCUCUUUGAGUGAGCUUGUCGAUGAACAAUAGCUCGCCCCCAAUAUCAAUGCCUUCUUCUCCAUCACCAUCACCUUCGCAAUAAAUGUCAUCAUCUUCAUGCCACAAAUCACCAUGGUCGUACUCAGCAUGGUCGUGGGCCUCUUCAUCGGCAAUGUACUGGGCGCGGCCAUCCCGACUUUGGGUCUCGUCGGGAUCGUAGGCACAGCCAUGCCCACCCUCAAAGAUGACAUUCUCCAUGAACUGGUUGUAGAAGGGGUCGUCGAUCGUUGGUGUUGGUGUUGGCAUUUUGUCGAACAGGACGCGGGGCGACGACAUGGUGUCCGUAGACGGCGGUCGUGCUUGCUUUCUUUGCAUCUCGACGGCCGGUCGGCCGCUGCUGCUGGACAUCGGCGUGACGUUGAGGUCGAUGACGACCGAGGGGCGCGGGGUGGACGGCGCGAUCAUGCCAACGUCCGGCGACCCCGAAAAACGGGUCUGUCCAUCGUGCCUCGGCGGAGGAAAACCGGGCGACAAAGGCAUGGUCUGCGACGUCAGCGAGGGGCAAUGCGGAGGCCUGGCGACUGACGAGCCUGUGCUCGCCGGGCCGAUGACCGCUGCACAGAAACCCGCCGGACGACAAAUCCCAAGCAUGAGAAGCGCGUGCGCUUUGUUGACGAUAUCCUCCUCGUCGACCUCGGCCUGCGCCGCGCAGCCUCCACCGCAUCGCGCUCGGCUGCGAACUUGGCCGCGGCGUUCUUGCCCUUGACGACCGCCCUCCGGUUCCUCCUCUUAGCCGAUUCCGCGUCCAACUUUAUGAGCUCCGCUGGCGUGCAUUCCGACCGCGGCUUCCUCGGACCCUUGACCGCCUUCUUCUUCACCUUUCCGAGCGCGUCGACGGCCUGGCCGCCGGAAUUCGUUGGGGCGUCGGCCAUAGACGGGGAGGGUGGUGGGCGGGGCGUGGGACGGUUUGAGGGGAAAUGGCGCGAAAUAGGGCGCCGGGGUGGCGCUUUGUGCCACCGACGGGCGGCCCAGGGGAGGACAAGCGCGUGCGUCCCGCCCGUCCGCGCGAUGUCCGUUUCACCCCCAAAACGGCCCAAACUUGAACCAAGGAUGGGUCGAAAGCGGACAUAAAACGGACAAAAGUCCGUUUGCGCCUGCACGCUGAGCUGUCUGGUUUGUCCGUUUUACCGCAAACGGACGCAUCUGGACAGGAUAAGAUCAUGCGUUGGAGUUGGACUAAGGGGGAGAUCCGUUGGCCAGCGUUAGCGAAGAUGGCUAGCGGUGCCCCGGUUGUCCUCCCCAGUUGCGCCCAAGAUCCCUCUCACGCGGACUUGGCAAUCUUCACUCGCAGGCCGGAGUGAGACAUAUAUCCUCCAUCACUCAUCGUUGAUGGAUUGGACAUGGAGCGUGGGCUUCGGCUCAUUGUGGUGGUUUAUGUGGGUGGUGCAAGGCCACCGAUCUCAUGCUCCAAGGCAGCCGAGGCGAAUUUUGUGUGGUUGAACAUCCCUAGGAAUCGGUCCCCGAUUCAUUGUUUCCACUUGGAGAAUUUUUUGAUGGUGUUAGGCCAACUCCAAUGCACGACCCAAGUGAACAUCUAUUUUUUCCGGAUUUCGUUCGUUUGGAUAAGGAAAUGAAGCAGCGUCGGGCGGUUUCAUGGAUGCGCUGGUCGUGCACCCAACGCGCGUACACAUCUGGUCCGCCACGGCCAACUAGUAUAUCUGUAUAUAUACAUUUUUUGGCCGCAUUUCUUUUAUUAUUUUAUCAACGAUAUUGUCAUACAUUGAAGUACAUUCACAAAUUCUUGACUAGAUGAGCAAGACCAAACAAACUAGAGCCAAAAUUAGACAUGUUAAAAGAUAUCCAACUUUCAUAACUGCUCCCACAAGUUGGAUUAGUAUCCUCUUGAUGUCUUCAUUGUUGAUCUCCGGCUUCUCGAUUUUGCAUACUUCUUUCUUGUUCGAUUCUAAAGAAAUAGACGUUGCUUCACAUAUAGUCUCAUCCCUAGUUUCUAUUCUAGCAACGAGUGCAUGAGCAUCUAUCAAUUUCGUUCUAUCAAUAGAUCGAUGUAUUCUUUUUCCCAAUACCAAAAACUUGCAUCCAUCCUACAUACAAAUUUUUACUAUAAGCAUAGAGCUAUCGAAAAUGCGCAGAAUCCGAAAGCACAACCGAAGCAAAACAAACAUAUACCCCAUCAUUUUUGCACUUGAUAAACACCCAUCUGGGAUGUUCUGACGUUGUAGAUACGCGGCGCAUGACUUGCCCUGGGCAGUCCGCAUUUUAUGAGUGGCAACGGUGAGUCGACGAGCCGCAGGGCCAGCACCUAGUCCGGACAAGGGCCGGGCGUCUAUUUGCCGGUGAACCUCCGACGAUAAUGAUCUGAGCGGCUAGAGGCGGAGUCAAUAUCAGCAUGCGGCAGUUGCCGGGGCUGCGUGGUCCGGUACCCGACUAACCCAUGGCAAGGCGUAGCCUCCUGUGGCCGGAGGCACUCAAAUCCGGCGGUCGGGCUAGACAAUGAGGUGGCCGAGAAAAUGGCGACAGCUAUGGCAGGGGUUUGGGGCGAGGGCGGCCGGGCUGGACAGCGAGGUGGCCGAGAAAAAUGGCGGCGACGUAGGGGCGAAGGGAAGGGGAAUAGAAAAACAAGCGUUUGUGUCACCAACGGGCGGGCCAGGGGAGGACAAGGGCACGCGUCCCACCCGUCCGUGCAUGUCCGUUUCGACGCAAACACAACCCAAAUUUGACCGAGAAUGAGUGGAAAGCGGGACAAAAAACGAACGUUUGUUCAUUUACUCGCGUGUUGGACCGCAUUUUGUGUCCUUUUAAAACCAAACAGAUGGCCUGGAUUGCGCAACACCUUCCCGAGAGUACAGGUGAUAAUAUCAAGAAAUAAACAAAUAGGAUAAACACAAAACAUUCAGGGAACGACCAAAUCAGUUCUAUCACAUUACACUCGAGUAAAUCAACGAAGCACAAAACCCUACAACUACAACUACAAACAAAUCCCAUUCCCAUGUGACUGUUCACGCAAAAACCCUACAACUACAAACUGGAACAAUUACAUUUCUUAAAAAAAGUUAAACUCAAGGAUAAGCACACAAAAUUCGAGGAGAUCAGACAAGCAAAAAAUCCACAAUUUUUUUUCAAGGAUAAGCACAAAAAAUUCACGGAACAGCAAGCAAAAAUCAUCAAAACCUGUAACUGCCAGUUCACCAACUCCAUGACGUCAAACUCGAGGAGACCAGUCAAAUUUUCAGAGAGUUGGCAUGAAUGACCAGCCUUUUACAGAAAGCUUAAAGCAAUACAGAUCAAGGACGGGAAAAGAUAAAAAGGCUUAAGACAAUCAACACAGUUCUUGAUCGAUUUCACCACCAAAUUAGUCCAGCACGCCAAACUUAGAAGAUCAACAAGGUUUCAUGACCAAAUUCGCCACCAAAUCAGUUCAUCAUAUGCCAAACUUGAGGAAAUCAACAGAAUUUCAUGACCAAUUUCACCACCAAAGCAAGUUCAUCAUAUGCCGAAACUAGAGCAAAUUUGACAGAGUUCGCGACCAACUUCACCAUCAGACCACUACCUACUGGGUCCAAGACGAUCAACGAAGCAAAACAAGGAGAAAGACACCAAACAUGCCCACAUCAACAAGGCGUCUCUCACACUCUCGCGUCGGCCAUCCUCCAUGAGCACUACCACGACGGCACUGCCUACUCGACCUUGACGUGGAAGACGUCCGUGCGCUCCUCCUCCUUGACCUUGAGCAGGGUGACCCAGAGCACGCCAUUCUUCAUCUCGGCCUUGAUCUUGUCCAUCUUGUAC
rnacentral:lncRNA from 1 species